rnacentral:rRNA from 1 species
AUUGAACGCUGGCGGAAUGCUUUACACAUGCAAGUCGAACGGCAGCACGGACUUCGGUCUGGUGGCGAGUGGCGAACGGGUGAGUAAUGUAUCGGAACGUGCCCAGUCGUGGGGGAUAACGUAGGGAAAAUUACGCUAAUACCGCAUACGAUCUAUGGAUGAAAGCGGGGGAUCGCAAGACCUCGCGCGAUUGGAGCGGCCGAUAUCAGAUUAGGUAGUUGGUGGGGUAAAGGCCCACCAAGCCAACGAUCUGUAGCUGGUCUCAGAGGACGACCAGCCACACUGGAACUGAGACACGGUCCAGACUCCUACGGGAGGCAGCAGUGGGGAAUUUUGGACAAUGGGCGAAAGCCUGAUCCAGCCAUUCCGCGUGCAGGAUGGAGGCCCUCGGGUUGUAAACUGCUUUUGUACAGAACGAAAAGGUUUCUACUAAUACUAGGAGCUCAUGACGGUACUGUAAGAAUAAGCACCGGCUAACUACGUGCCAGCCGCCGCAGUAA